rnacentral:rRNA from 1 species
GACGAACGCUGGCGGCGUGCUUAACACAUGCAAGUCGAACGGAAAGGCCCUGCUUUUGUGGGGUGCUCGAGUGGCGAACGUGUGAGUAACACGUGAGUAACCUGCCCUUUACUUUGGGAUAACUUCAGGAAACUGGGGCUAAUACCGUAUAGGAGCUCCUGCUGCAUGGUGUGGUUUGGUAAGUUUCGGCGGUUGGGGAUGGACUCGCUGGUUAUCAGCUUGUUGGUGGGGUAGUGGCUUACCAAGGCUUUGACGGGUAGCCGGCCUGAGAGGGUGACCGGCCACAUUGGGACUGAGAUACGGCCCAGACUCCUACGGGAGGCAGCAGUGGGGAAUAUUGCACAAUGGGCGGAAGCCUGAUGCAGCAACGCCGCGUGCGGGAUGACGGCCUUCGGGUUGUAAACCGCUUUCGAAUGUGAAGAAGAGUGAGUGACGGUAAUGGGUAAAGAAGCACCGGCUAACUACGUG